AGUAACUCUGGGUGGAACAUUAGUGUUAGGUUUGGAUAAAGUGCACCAUUGAUCCUGUGGUGAGAGGAGACUGAAAUAUUAACAGGCGAGAGGUGGAUUUCCCCACUGCUGAGUCCGUCUCCCACUACUGCCAUUGAGAGCCCUUCUCUGAUGGGAGGGACUCACUGAAGACUUGGGCUGUUGGAAAGGGGGUACCUACAGGGGAAUGGUGGAGUUAUUCUGAGAAAUUCAAAUCCAGGAUAUUCAGUCCAGAUGAUGCCAGCGUCUGCUUCAAAGAUCUUGGUCCGGUCCAUGGAUGAAGUAGAAGAGUAAACCUGAUGCCCUGCUUCAGCAUCCAUCUCAAUUGCAGCCCCAGCACGUACGCCACACGUUCCAGCAACAGGACAGACACUUUUGCCGAGUAUCUAAGAACUGUAAGGCACUGAUUCCUUCAGCGUUGGUGACACAGGGGAAAGAGCGGACAGAGGCCUGCUCGCCUAAAUGUUCACUAGACCCUAUCUUUGCUCUGGCUCAGCCUGUUAUCUGAUAUGGGGACCUCUGUUGAUGUGGAGAGCUCCUCACGGGCUGUGAGUGUGAUUUUCUUGGGGUGGUGAUUGGCUUCACCUGGACACGUUCUGGCGCUCAAGAGCCUUCUCCAGAGAGCAGG
rnacentral:lncRNA from 1 species